CAGUCGGAUAAUCGCGCCUGAUACAAAAUCAGGUGAGGAAAGUCCGUGCAUCCAAGAACAGACCGCCGGAGAAACUCCGGGCGAUGUGAGUCGGCGGAUAGUGCCACAGAAAUGUAGACUGCCAAUGGGCAUUUGCCACAGGCGAUGGUGCAACGGUGAGUUAAGAGCUUCACCAGUGAUAUCGGAAGGUAUCAGCUAGGUAAACCCCGGUCGGAUGCAAGAUUAACCAGAAGGCUAAAGGCUGUUCGCCCACUUCUGACAAAUCGCUAGAGAUCAGGAGCAAUCCUGAUACCAGACAGAUGGUUAUCUAAAACAGAACACGGCUUACGGGCUGCUUU
rnacentral:RNase_P_RNA from 1 species